UUUGGUACUUGAUCGAGUACUUGAUGCAUGUUGAUAAGUCUAUUAAAGAAGUGAUGGUAAAUUAUCAUCAGUUAGUUGUAUAUUUGUACUGUUUGUUCUCAUCUCCCUUUAUUUUCUCUCUCGUAGGAGCUUGUGGCUUUAAAAGACUUUCAUGUAUUUAAUGGAGAUGCUGAGUCAGCAUGUCAGGUUAUUUUAGACUCUCCUUAUUAUGAAAUGUUAUCAGCUCACGGGUCUGCCAGAGUUGUUUUUGAUUUAAGAAUUGCUUUAAAAGUAGCUGUAACUUUAUACAUUAAUUGUUACGCUGAGUCUGUUAAUUGCUAAGGAGUGAGGUGGCAUUUUCAAGGGAAAGAAAGGAGUUAUCUGAUCUUGAUUCAGAGACAAGAGAUAUGGUUGAGAAGAUGAUGUAUGAAUAGAGACAGAAAGAGAGAGGUCUCCCCACGUCUGAUGAACAAAAGAAGCAAGAUAUAUUGAAGAAUUGUAGAUUUAUGGAACAGCAUCCUGAA
rnacentral:lncRNA from 1 species